rnacentral:rRNA from 1 species
UACAGAGGUCUCAAGCGUUGUUCGGAUUCAUUGGGCGUAAAGGGAGCGUAGGUGGCGGGGCAAGUCGGAUGUGAAAUCCUGGGGCUCAACCCCAGAACUGCAUUCGAUACUGCUCUGCUAGAGUCCUGGAGAGGAGAUCGGAAUUUACGGUGUAGCAGUGAAAUGCGUAGAUAUCGUAAGGAAGACCAGUGGCGAAGGCGGAUCUCUGGACAGGCACUGACACUGAGGCUCGAAGGCCAGGGGAGCAAACGGG